GUGGGGAAUAUUGCGCAAUGGGGGCAACCCUGACGCAGCAAUACCGCGUGAGUGAAGAAGGUUUUCGGAUCGUAAAGCUCUGUUAUUGGGGAAGAAAACAUGACGGUACCCAAUGAGGAAGUCCCGGCUAACUACGUGCCAGCAGCCGCGGUAAUACGUAGGGGACAAGCGUUGUCCGGAAUGACUGGGCGUAAAGGGCGCGUAGGCGGUCUAUUAAGUCUGAUGUGAAAGGUACCGGCUCAACCGGUGAAGUGCAUUGGAAACUGGUAGACUUGAGUAUUGGAGAGGCAAGUGGAAUUCCUAGUGUAGCGGUGAAAUGCGUAGAUAUUAGGAGGAACACCAGUGGCGAAGGCGGCUUGCUGGACAAAUACUGACGCUGAGGUGCGAAAGCGUGGGGAGCGAACAGGAUUAGAAACCCGAGUAGUCC
rnacentral:rRNA from 1 species